UACGUAGGGUGCAAGCGUUGUCCGGAAUUAUUGGGCGUAAAGAGCUCGUAGGCGGUCUGUCGCGUCUGCUGUGAAAACUCGGGGCUUAACCCCGGGCCUGCAGUGGGUACGGGCAGACUAGAGUGCGGUAGGGGAGACUGGAAUUCCUGGUGUAGCGGUGAAAUGCGCAGAUAUCAGGAGGAACACCGGUGGCGAAGGCGGGUCUCUGGGCCGUAACUGACGCUGAGGAGCGAAAGCGUGGGUAGCGAACAGG
rnacentral:rRNA from 1 species